rnacentral:rRNA from 1 species
GACGAAGGAUGCAAGCGUUAUCCGGAUUCAUUGGGUUUAAAGGGAGCGUAGGUGGCCAAAUAAGUCAGUGGUGAAAUCCUGUUGCUUAACAACAGAAUUGCCAUUGAUACUGUAUGGCUUGAGUACAGUUGCUGUGGGCGGAAUAUGACAUGUAGCGGUGAAAUGCUUAGAUAUGUCAUAGAACACCGAUUGCGAAGGCAGCUCACAAAGCCACUAUUGACGCUGAGGCACGAAAGCGUGGGGAUCAAACAGG